UUGUGGGUGCUUUUUUUUGUUGAAUUUGUACCUUGGUAUUUAGACUCAUAGUUAUGUGUUCUGACUAUUGAAUAUUGAUAACCAUAAGUAGCCUGAUUGGAGUUGGGAAGAAACUCCUGUAAAUAUUUAGAAGGAGUUGAGUUUUCUAAAUAUUUCUAAUUUCAGGCGGAGCGGGCUGGAUGAUGCUGAAGUAGUCAUCUUCGUCGGCCCCGUCACUGCGUACGCAUACUCCUUCAAUUUUUCCCUCCUACUGGUGUUGUGAUCUGGAGAAGCUCAAGUAGUCAUCUUCGUCCAUCACGUCACUGCAUACGCAUACGCCUCUGAUUUUUGACUCCUGUAGCAGUACGUAUGUACAAUAUUUUGGAAUGCACCUCAAAGGAAUAGGAACGUUUCCCGCAAAAAAAAGGAAUAGGACUGUGCUCCUCCCAAAGGACAAAAGCAAGAACAAUAAAAAUCCAGCACCAACAAUGAAUAGCCGGAGUAAACAAAACAAGCAGACCAAAUCGUGUCGGCCCUCGAGGAAGGGUUGCAGUGUCGAGGAACAGCAGGCAUGUAAAUCUGACUGCAAUUCAUGUCACGGUGGAUGGUUUGAGAGGAGGGAGGCAGAGCAGAGACAAACGGCGCAUUCGGUCAUGCAUGUGUGUGGAUUUGUAUCAUCCUACUACUGUGUUGCUUUGUUUUACAGUAAUAAAUAAAGAGACGAAUCAGAUUUUCUUUGGUUCGUUAGCAAAAUUUUACACAUCAAGUAUUUGAUCUCAGAUCUUCUAUUUCGGUUUGGUAUAUGAGCCUUUUGCCCAUAGACUAACAUGUCCCUUAACCUGUCUGCUUGGUGAUACUUUUCUGUAUCAGCAUGUAGUUACGGAUUGAACAACCAGUUACUGAUUAUGCCUUAUCUCAAUGCAUACUAACUUUCUAUGAGUACCUGGUUUGCUGCAGCCCUUUUGCCCAUAGACUAAUAUAUGCACUUUCUUUUAGAAUUGAGCAUACCCUACUUGUCAUUAGCACUCUCGUUACAACAUCUACAUCUCUCUUUACACAAUAUUACCUAUUUUUUCUUACUUUCCAGUAAUGAUCAUCCUCAUCCACCCAUACGUCGUCUAGACAAUUAUUAGAGCAUUUCUUUCACAACGUAAAGCAUCGGCAAAAAACAUCAAAAUAUAGCGUACUAACUUGGCGUUGGUUUCCUUAUUUACUGUUCCGUACAUAUAUAACCAAUGUCUUUGAGUGACUUUUUUUAUUAUCUGAUAUUGCAUACUUCGAUAUCGCCUGUUGAUGUGCUUCGAAUGUAAACGUCUAACUACUUUAUCAUCCCCAACAUCCAGGGUGCGUAGACAGGACUGAUGUUGCUCAAAUGCGAUCAUAUGUGACCGUGUUGAAGGAGUUUUGCCCUCUGUCUAUGACUCAAGUGUCAAUGAUGCCUCUCCAUAUUAUCGCUACCAUGUCUUAUUUGUUUUGGUUGCUCAGCAAAUGUUUUGCUGUACAAGAAUUAGACGACACUGGACCUGUAUAAUUAUGGGCUACUCAUGCAGUUUAUUAUUUAAGUUUCGAAUGAUGUUAUCUGUUUCUAUUAUGCGUGCUUUCACAUAAAUGUUUCCAUCAAACAUUCCCUGUGAUCAUAUCUCCAAAACUUACAAGGAUUUCCCAAUGGAUCCUGUACACAUUCCACCAAUGCUUAUUCCUUUCUUUCUAAUAGUAUUGUAAAUAUUCUGUGUACCAAUCUGCCCCUAAAUAUAUUUAUGUUCACUCUCACAAUAGAUGCCUUACUCUCGCCCCUAGCGCCAUCGGCGCAACGGGUCAUCUAGUAUUAUCAAAAGGUAAAUGCCCUGAUUAUUUAGCUCUGUCAGAUAAAUACUCGUCGAAAGUGGGCUCCUAUCAAAAUUCAUUUCCAUUAUAAUCUUACUCAUACAAUAUUCACACCAUGUAAUUCUGGAAAUAUAUGCUCAUAUCUAGUUCUGCAUAAAAAAUGUGACAGUAUUGACAUGUUAUAAAUAGUUUGUUUGUCUUUCUGUUUAUUUUGUUACAUUUUGCAGGGAUAAAGUGAAGAAAUAGAAGAAAAGAUUACUAGAAGAUUAGUUUUAGGAUUUUCUUUUAUUUCCUUGCAAUUUUCCUUUUAUUGGAAACUUGUAAAGACAUUGUAAUAUUCUUACUAUAAUAAAAAUUAUGAUUCUAUUUCA